rnacentral:rRNA from 1 species
AUUGAACGCUGGCGGCAUGCCUUACACAUGCAAGUCGAACGGCAGCACGGGAGCAAUCCUGGUGGCGAGUGGCGAACGGGUGAGUAAUAUAUCGGAACGUGCCCAGUCGUGGGGAUAACGUAGCGAAAGCUACGCUAAUACCGCAUACGAUCUAUGGAUGAAAGCGGGGGAUCGCAAGACCUCGCGCGAUUGGAGCGGCCGAUAUCAGAUUAGGUAGUUGGUGAGGUAAAGGCUCACCAAGCCGACGAUCUGUAGCUGGUCUGAGAGGACGACCAGCCACACUGGGACUGAGACACGGCCCAGACUCCUACGGGAGGCAGCAGUGGGGAAUUUUGGACAAUGGGCGCAAGCCUGAUCCAGCAAUGCCGCGUGCAGGAUGAAGGCCUCGGUGU